rnacentral:ribozyme from 1 species
UCUAUUUCUCUUUGUUUCCCUUUAAAGCGCCUGCCAACGAGAGAAAAGAGAGAAGAGAGAUAAAGAGAGAGGGAGAGAGAGAGAGAGAGAGAGAACAAUGGGCAGACAUAGAAGGAAACCGAGAGAUAAACAGUGAAAGAAACAGACAUACGAUAAAAGUAAGAAGGAAAAAGAAAAAGGGAAGGAAAGAUAGAAAAAGGAAGGAAGGAAGGAUAGAAAGAAUAUCAAAAUAAGGAAAAAUAAAGAGAUGG